GGUAGUCCACGCCGUAAACGAUGAUCAUUAGUUGGUGGGAGAAUCUCACUAACGCAGCUAACGCAUUAAAUGAUCCGCCUGAGUAGUAUGCUCGCAAGAGUGAAACUUAAAGGAAUUGACGGGGACCCGCACAAGCGGUGGAGCAUGUGGUUUAAUUUGACGAUACGCGUAGAACCUUACCCACUCUUGACAUCCUCUGCAAAGCUAUAGAGAUAUAGUC
rnacentral:rRNA from 1 species